rnacentral:rRNA from 1 species
CCUACGGGGGGCUGCAGUGGGGAAUAUUGGACAAUGGGGGCAACCCUGAUCCAGCCAUGCCGCGUGUGUGAAGAAGGCCCUCGGGUUGUAGAGCACUUUCAGUGAGGAAGAACGCCUGGUGGUUAAUACCCAUCAGGAAAGACAUCACUCACAGAAGAAGCACCGGCUAACUCCGUGCCAGCAGCCGCGGUAAUACGGAGGGUGCGAGCGUUAAUCGGAAUUACUGGGCGUAAAGCGCGCGUAGGUGGCUUGAUAAGCCGGUUGUGAAAGCCCCGGGCUCAACCUGGGAACGGCAUCCGGAACUGUCAAGCUAGAGUGCAGGAGAGGAAGGUAGAAUUCCCGGUGUAGCGGUGAAAUGCGUAGAGAUCGGGAGGAAUACCAGUGGCGAAGGCGGCCUUCUGGACUGACACUGACACUGAGGUGCGAAAGCGUGGGUAGCAAACAGGAUUAGAUACCCUGGUAGUC